rnacentral:rRNA from 1 species
AUGGCGGCUUCAGCUUGGUCGAAGCUCGCCCUUCUUCUCUGCUACUUUGGCUUGAAGGCCUUCGUAUUCGGCAUCGUUGCCGAAAACAAAAAGCCUCAGUUUGGAACAGGUACCGUCACCGGAGAUGGUUAUGUCAUGUGCGACUUCUCACGUCUCAGCGUGGUGAUGGGGAUCCUCUCGGUGAUCUCGCUGCUAAUCACCAUCCUCAUCGGCCACCGUGCCGUCUUCUACCCCUACCCUACCAACAAGACCAACCAGCAACCUGCAUCAGUUCCUCGCCGAGCUCUGCUUCGAAGCACCAUCCUCAUAGUCUUCUUCAUCGUCGCCGAGUUGGUCUCGGUUUCGGCUUUGGUGAUGCUGGUGGGAGCGACCAAGACGCAGGCGGCCAACCUCCGGUACCAGCUGCGAAUACAACCUGACGGCACCAUGAGCUGCCCGUCAAACACGGACAAGAUGGACGGCCACUUCGGUGGAGGCGCCCUGCUGGCCCUUGAUGCCGCGCUCAUCUGGUUCGUCUGCCAGCUGCUCGCGCUCGAGGCCCGGGCUAACUACCUCGACCGUCUCCCCGGGGAUGAUGAGGACUACGAUGACAACAACAAGAAACAUGAUGGCGACAAUGUAGCCUCUGAGGACCACAGUCAGCUAGCAUAA